rnacentral:rRNA from 1 species
AAGAAGCGAAGCAGUGAUGUGGUGCAAACUACAAAAAAGUAAGUCUCAGUUCGGAUUGAAGGCUGAAAUUCGCCUUCAUGAAGCCGGAAUUGCUAGUAAUGGCAGGUCAGCAUACUGCCGUGAAUACGUUCCCGGGCCUUGUACACACCGCCCGUCACACCAUGGGAGUCAGCAACGCCCGAAGUCAGUGACCUAACCUUAUAGGGAGGAGCUGCCGAAGGCGGGGCCGGUAACUGGGGUGAAGUCGUAACAAGGUAGC